GAUGAAGAACGCAGCGAAAUGCGAUAAGUAAUGUGAAUUGCAGAAUUCAGUGAAUCAUCGAAUCUUUGAACGCACCUUGCGCUCCUUGGUAUUCCGAGGAGCAUGCCUGUUUGAGUGUCAUUAAUAUAUCAACCUCUUCAGCUUACGCUUGUUGAGUGUUGGAUGGUGGGGGUUUGCUGGUGUCUUAUGAAGUCAGCUCCUCUGAAAUGCAUUAGCGGAACAAUUUGUUGACCGUUCAUUGGUGUGAUAAAAAUAUCUACGCUAUUGACGUCAGUCAGUUCAGCUUCUAACAGUCCAUUGACUUGGACAAAUUUUUCAUUAAUGUGACCUCAAAUCAGGUAGGACUACCCGCUGAACUUAAGCAUAUCAAUAAGCGGAGGA
rnacentral:misc_RNA from 1 species